UACGGGGGGAGCAAGCGUUGUUCGGAUUUACUGGGCGUAAAGGGAGCGUAGGUGGCGGGGCAAGUCAGGUGUGAAAUCUCGGGGCUCAACCCCGAAACUGCACUUGAUACUGCCUUGCUAGAGUACUGGAGAGGAGAUUGGAAUUUACGGUGUAGCAGUGAAAUGCGUAGAUAUCGUAAGGAAGACCAGUGGCGAAGGCGAAUCUCUGGACAGUUACUGACACUGAGGCUCGAAGGCCAGGGGAGCAAACGGG
rnacentral:rRNA from 1 species